rnacentral:rRNA from 1 species
UCCUACGGGAGGCAGCAGUAGGGAAUCUUCCGCAAUGGACGAAAGUCUGACGGAGCAACGCCGCGUGAGUGAUGAAGGCUUUCGGGUCGUAAAACUCUGUUGUUAGGGAAGAACAAGUGCUAGUUGAAUAAGCUGGCACCUUGACGGUACCUAACCAGAAAGCCACGGCUAACUACGUGCCAGCAGCCGCGGUAAUACGUAGGUGGCAAGCGUUAUCCGGAAUUAUUGGGCGUAAAGCGCGCGCAGGUGGUUUCUUAAGUCUGAUGUGAAAGUCCACGGCUCAACCGUGGAGGGUCAUUGGAAACUGGGAGACUUGAGUGCAGAAGAGGAAAGUGGAAUUCCAUGUGUAGCGGUGAAAUGCGUAGAGAUAUGGAGGAACACCAGUGGCGAAGGCGACUUUCUGGUCUGUAACUGACGCUGAGGCGCGAAAGCGUGGGGAGCAAACAGGAUUAGAUACCCUGGUAGUCCACGCCGUAAACGAUGAGUGCUAAGUGUUAGAGGGUUUCCGCCCUUUAGUGCUGAAGUUAACGCAUUAAGCACUCCGCCUGGGGAGUACGGCCGCAAGGCUGAAACUCAAAGGAA